GCGGGUGUGAUGUAACGGUAGCAUCUGAGUGCGCCACACUCAGCGCAUGGGUUCAAAUCCCGUCACUCGCU
rfam:[Oscillatoria] sp. PCC 6506, WGS project CACA01000000 data, contig: Contig87